GUAAAGGCCUGGAUUAGGAAGUUCCUGCAAGAGAUCCAGGGAAGCUAGGAGAACAACAGAGUGGGCCGUUGCUUGCUAGUGUUUCUGAGACACAGAAAAGACAACUCAGAGUUUUGGAACCUCUGCUGCGGAUGACUCACAAGCAGCUCAGUCCAGAGGUGAGAUUUGUAGUCUCUCUGAAUAACAACUGAAAGGACUACUUGACCAAAGUUGGCAUUGUCUGGAAUGCUGAAAUAUGGCAUAAUGAGUUGCCCAAAACACUGAAGAGAGACCGGAUCUUUGCUAGAUUGAGUUCUACCUGAUUCUUGGACGGACCUCCAGAACCAUUUGGAUGCCAAUGUUGUCAAUGCCAUCUACAUUAUUGUUGAUUGCUGUGUAAUGCACAAUAUAUGUGAGGCCAAAGGUGCGUCAACAGGAGUGGACUCAAAGCACUGCUGGAUUGCUGCAAUGGUACAUGCAACUAGAAACUAAGCCUAUCAUUACUGGGGCAGAAGCCACACACACGCAGGAAAUCAGGGAUGCUUUUUGCACCUACAUAAUGGGUUUGCAGGGUGACAUGGAUGAAUGGGAAUGCCAUAAUAUAGACUUUUUACAGUUUUUAUGAAUUUUACAUUUUAUAAAAACUGUUGAUUUACCUCAACACAUAGCUUAUGGAUUAUUGUGAUGAGGUUUUUUGUAUUGAUUUUAAUGAAGUCCGAUUCUGCAUCCUUGUUUGAAAAUUCAACACUCUAUUUUAAACUUGUAAGUAAAUAAGUCAUAAUUUAAAAAUCUUUUAGUCAGACCAUCUGCUGUCAAGAUGUAAAAGAAGAUAAAUAAAAACUGCAUAUUAAGAAACCAGAUGGGGGGAAAAAGGACAAAAUGGCCAAACUACAUACAUUGCCACCAGACUAUUUUCAGUGUUGGUGUGUCCCCUGUGGCGGUGUUCUCCUGGGCCCUUCUAGUAGGUUUCACAUGUGUGGGCUGCAGUUGAACAGGAGUGGAGGAAUAUACAGAGUACGUUUGACUGUAUAUGUUCAUUGACUGUAUAUGUUCAUUGCCUGUGCCAACUCCAGAAUUGCCAGAAGGCUGCAUAGGGAGUGGACUCAGAGCAUGGAGCUGGUGCUGCAGCUGAAGAUAGAGCUUGGUUGCCAUGAGACUGAGCAAUCUCUGAAACAAUUCCUGCUGCUGCAUGCUGUCUUCUUCCCUCAGUCUCUUUUCUUGCUCCAGGAACUGGGCUACCAAACUUGUCUCAGGCUGGUCAGCCUCUCUCUAUUUUCCUUUCCUUCUUUCUUCUCCCUUUGAUAAGAGAGCGGCUCAUUGGCUUUGCCAAAAAUGUCCAGUGUCACUUGAUUCCUGACUCUCUCUUCCUCCUUGUAUACUGGUGACAGUCUGCUCCCCCAGGAUGCUAGUUUCUUUUUCCUGCCCAGCAGAGGUGGAAGGGCCUGCUAAGGAAAAUAAGAGCAUAUUGUCUGCCCAUGAGGCGGGGAAAAUAUAUUUUUACCACUUGCAUGGGCUACAUCACUUCAAGAUCAAAGGAUAAGGCAUUUUAUCAUUUUAUUUUAUUCAUACAAAAUCAUUGCUGAAGCUCCAGCAAGCCAACACACAUCACAGUAAGAGGCACGUAUCAAAAUCAAUGAAAAGCAUGUAUAAAUCCCCACGUUUGUUUGUUGGAGGUGGAGUGUUU